GAUCAACGCUGGCGGCGUGCAUGAGACAUGCAAGUCGAACGGACCCUUACGGGCUGCCUGUAAGGGUUAGUGGCGGACGGCUGAGUAACGCGUAGGUAACCUGCCCCGAAGUGGGGAAUAACUGCCCGAAAGGGUGGCUAAUACCGCAUGUGGUGGUGCGUUCGAUCGCACCAGUAAAGCCGCAAGGCGCUUCGGGAGGGGCCUGCGUCCGAUUAGCUCGUUGGUGAGGUAACGGCUCACCAAGGCGACGAUCGGUAGGUGGUCUGAGAGGACGAUCACCCAGACUGGGACUGAGACACGGCCCAGACUCCUACGGGAGGCAGCAGUCGGGAAUUUUGCGCAAUGGACGAAAGUCUGACGCAGCAACGCCGCGUGAGGGAUGACGGCCUUCGGGUUGUAAACCUCUUUUGUCAGGGACGAUGAUGACGGUACCUGACGAAUAAGCCACGGCUAACUACGUGCCAGCCGCCGCAGUAA
rnacentral:rRNA from 1 species